GGCAUGUCAAAUUACUUAAGAAAACUUUGAAAUGGGCUUAAUUAGACUAUGAUUGUUUUCAUUGUUAAAGCAGGACCCGGGUUGGGGGGUUGGGUGGGGCUAGAUUUUAUUUAGGGGUCACUGUGAUGCUACAGAUCUCUGCUGAAUAUAGGGCGGUUCCAUUGUGCCAGUCAGGGGUGGGGGGCCCAUGGCACCAGGUGCUGGAGGCGUGAUAAAGGUGUGUGGACAGUGGUUUGAUGCCACGUCCGAGGUGACCUCUAAGGUGGUGGCUACAACUGAGUCCUAGACAUGACACCCAGACACUGCUCACCUUUUCCGCCCUCGUAGCUGUGUCGGCUU
rnacentral:lncRNA from 1 species